rnacentral:rRNA from 1 species
UACAGAGGGGGCAAGCGUUGUUCGGAAUUACUGGGCGUAAAGGGCGCGUAGGCGGCCUUCUAAGUCGAACGUGAAAUCCCCGGGCUCAACCCGGGAACUGCGUCCGAAACUGGCAGGCUCGAAUUCGGGAGAGGGAUGCGGAAUUCCAGGUGUAGCGGUGAAAUGCGUAGAUAUCUGGAGGAACAUCGGUGGCGAAGGCGGCAUCCUGGACCGAUAUUGACGCUGAGGCGCGAAAGCCAGGGGAGCAAACGGG